rnacentral:lncRNA from 1 species
CACGUGCUGGCACUCACAUCUCCAGAUUAGUGAGGCAGUCGCAUCCCACUUUGCUCUAUUUGCAACGUGCCACACAAGACAGAUUGUCCGCGCCAGCAAAUAUAUUGUGAAAUGAAAGCAAGUAUACAGCUGCGCUCAAAUUUCGCGUUAGGGAGUAUCAUAAUCGCCGGUGAAUUUAUUUGAAAGGAG